rnacentral:rRNA from 1 species
GAGUUUGAUCCUGGCUCAGAUUGAACGCUGGCGGCAUGCCUUACACAUGCAAGUCGAACGGCAGCACGGGAGCUUGCUCCUGGUGGCGAGUGGCGAACGGGUGAGUAAUGCAUCGGAACGUAUCCUGGAGUGGGGGAUAACGUAGCGAAAGUUACGCUAAUACCGCAUAUUCUGUGAGCAGGAAAGCGGGGGACCUUCGGGCCUCGCGCUCUUGGAGCGGCCGAUGUCGGAUUAGCUAGUUGGUGAGGUAAAGGCUCACCAAGGCGACGAUCCGUAGCAGGUCUGAGAGGAUGAUCUGCCACACUGGAACUGAGACACGGUCCAGACUCCUACGGGAGGCAGCAGUGGGGAAUUUUGGACAAUGGGGGCAACCCUGAUCCAGCCAUGCCGCGUGAGUGAAGAAGGCCUCGGCGUGUAAGACGUCUUUCGUCGAGGGAAGGAAAGUUAGUCACCGGACCGAAGUAACCUACGGU